AAAUUGAAGAGUUUGAUCAUGGCUCAGAUUGAACGCUGGCGGCAGGCCUAACACAUGCAAGUCGAACGGUAACAGGAAGCAGCUUGCUGCUUUGCUGACGAGUGGCGGACGGGUGAGUAAUGUCUGGGAAACUGCCUGAUGGAGGGGGAUAACUACUGGAAACGGUAGCUAAUACCGCAUAACGUCGCAAGACCAAAGAGGGGGACCUUCGGGCCUCUUGCCAUCGGAUGUGCCCAGAUGGGAUUAGCUAGUAGGUGGGGUAAAGGCUCACC
rnacentral:rRNA from 1 species